rnacentral:rRNA from 1 species
AUUGAACGCUGGCGGCAGGCCUAACACAUGCAAGUCGAACGAGUGGCGGACGGGUGAGUAAUGUCUGGGAAACUGCCCGCUGGAGGGGGGUAACUACUGGAAAAGGUAGCUAAUACCGCCUACCAUCGGAUGUGCCCAGAUGGGAUUAGCUAGUAGGGGGGGUAACGGCUCACCAAGGCGACGAUCCCGAGCUGGUCUGAGCGGAUGACCCGCCACACUGGAGCUGAGAAACGGUCCAGACGCCUACGGGAGGCAGCAGUGGGGAAUAUUGCACAAUGGGCGCAAGCCUGAUGCAGCAAUGCCGCGUGGAUGAAGAAGGCCUGCGGGUUGUAAAGUACGUUCAGCGAGGAGGCGUUAAUCGCAGAAGAAGCAGCGGCUAAAUACGUGCCAGCCGCCGCGGUAAUUC